CCUGGGCCGGGCCCGGAUCCGCGCUGCCUUCCGCUUAGCGGGCGGGCAGCCUGCCGGCCGGUGCGGCUAGGCGUUACCGAGGGGUUGGGCGGACGAGUUUGCGCGCGAGGCGCUUGCUCUCGCGCCCCGCACGCCUCUGUUAGCUGGGAAGAGGCUCCCGGCUCCCUUCUCCUAGGCCCUCGUCUGACUGCUGCGGCCCCUCACGAACUCCGGCUCUCUUCACCUCCCCGCCCUGCUCUUGCCCGCGAACGGCGCUCUCCCCGCUUCCCCCGGCCAACAGCGGGGACCAGCUGGCACCCGUGGAUUCCGGGCCCCCGUGGGCUUCAGAAAGCGGAGCCCGGGCCAGGUAAAUACAUAACACUGCCUGUGAGAAGCAGCUGGGUUAAUGAGAGAGAAGUUGGCUGCUGUUUCUACUGUCCCUUCUUCCGCUAUUGACUGUGCAGAGAAAGGAAGGACUGAAUUCCAGGUCUCCAAAUGAUGGUCCAGAAAAAACCGCUAAUGGGGACACAGGUUCGAUCCCUGGUCCAGGGAGAUCCCACAUGCCUUGGAGCAACUAAGCCCGUGCGUCACAACUACUGAGCCAGCACUCUAGAGCCUGCAUGCCACAACUACUGGAACCCGUGCUCUGUAACAAGAGAAG